GUCGGAGUGGCGGAAUCGGUAGACGCGCUAGGUUGAGGGCCUAGUGAGGAUUUCCUCAUGGGGGUUCAAGUCCCCCCUCCGACA
rnacentral:tRNA from 1 species